ensembl:lncRNA
UUCAGCCUGUUGUUUAGAUAUUUUUAUUUCAGAAAUGAUUCCUAACAAAAAUGGAGAAUAUAAAAACACAAUCAAAGCAGUAAAGUCCAUAUUAUGAAGUGUUUGCUGUAUCAGACAAUCAUGUUUCCAGUCUGCUGCAUCACAACAAUUGAAAUGCAAAUAUAAAUGAUUCACAACAAUGAAAACAAUAUAGUGCAGAUACACAUGGUGCUGUAAUGAAUCUGCUCUUAAACACAAUAACAAAAUACAUUUUCCAAGAGAGAUGAUAAUGAUUCACAUCAGAGUGAAGAACGAAUACAUUUACAACUGGUUUCUAACAUUUCUUAUAGAUCGAACUGAUCACUGAUAGAAACAGAAGAAUAUUCAAAAUGAUACUCUGAGAGAUACAUGAAUGAGAUAUGGAUAAAAUUAAAUCACAUAAAACAAAAAAGCACAUAAUCAUUAUAACUGGGGCCACCGUGGCUCAGGGGGUUGGGAAGCGUAUCUUGUCUGGGCAAGACACUUUACCCUACCGCCUACUGCUGUUAGCCAGAGGGGGCCGAUGGCGCAUUCCACCAGUGUGUGAAUGCGAGAGUGAAUGAAUUGUGGCAUUGUAAAGCGCUAUAUAAAUCCAAUCCAUUAUGAAAUAAAAUAUGAGCAGAAAUAUAGAAGAAUUAAGUGUGUGUCUGAGCUGAAAGCUGCUCUCCUCUCCUGGUUUUCUGUAUCACACAGACCACAACAACACAAAGCAUCACCUGCAGACCGCUGAGCAGUAUCCACCUGACUCUGUAGAAGGUCGAUUAAACCCCAAAGGGCUCUCUGUGGAUCAGAACAAAUGCUUCUGCUGACACACACUCAUUCUCUGACUUAUAACCUGCACACACAUACUCUCCUGCAUCUUCCAGUGAGACAUUAGAGAUUAUCAGGCUGUCACGGGAACAAGUGAUUCUUUUGUCACUGCAGAACUUAUCAUCGUACACAAUUUUGCCUUCUGUUUGGAUCGACUUCAUGAACAUAAAGUCCGAAGUACUAGUUUUCCAAUCAUCAGAGCAUCUCAUAGUGACUUCAUCUCCCUCUGAGAAAACCUUUACUGCAGGUGGACCAAAUUUAGGGCACACGAAAAGCCAGUACUGAUGUAUUACUUUUUCACCUUCACAGUAGUAGAUACCUGAAUCAUUUAACGUUAAUGAUGGAAGUACCAGCGAGAAGUUUCGACCAAUUUCUUGAUCAGCAUCGUAGGAAAUUUCCUUCAUCCAAACUGGGGGCUGGUCAUGAAUGGGGUCCAUGAAGGGACACUCCAGCACAGCUGUGUCUCCCUCUGAAGCAUAACGUAGCUUUGUUUGUUUGGUCAAACGUACAGAGUAAGUGCUCACACACUGCUGUUGGUUCAUCACCAGGCAGAUGUAAGACGUUGGUCGUGUGUUGACAUGAAGAAGUGAUGCGUUUGUCACCUGCAGGAAACUUUCUUGGACUUUAUUCACCUUCAAAAUUGUUCUGUCUUCGAAACUACUCAGCCCGGCUUGUUGCCACUCCCCGUAAUGUCUGAUCCAACGCACCGUCAGAUUCUCACCUGCUCCUUUACAUCGCACGUCUUCAGUGGCAUCAGGACUUAUGAUAGAUUCUUCCCACCUUACUGUCUUGCACACAGUCAGGCUGAUGUUUCUCUCAUAUGUCACGCUGCCCUGAGUCCAGCACACAUCUUGGUACAGUCCAGAGUCUGAGUGGGCCAGGUUGUUGAGAGUAAAUGAAGGAGAACCAUGAAAUGUCUCAGGAAAUGAGAGUCGUCCUGUCAGGUCUUCAUGUACUGUGAAUUUUCUGUUCCGGGGGUCAGAGAUGUUCCACAGGACCAGAGUAUCUUCACCAACACGUCUGGAGGUGAUGCAGGAGCUGUUUUGAUCUGGGAGCUUGAACUGUAAAGAGCCUCCUUCUUUUCUUAUGGCGAUAAAUUCUUCUGCAUGAAUGUUGCUGAUGAGAGUGAACAGCAGGGAGAAGCAGAGCUGUGCGACUGCAGCCAUCCUGCUCAGAGGUCUCCUGCUGUCGGAGGGGCUUUUUCAACCCAGGUACGUGAUCCAUGGUCCAAUCAGCAGCCCACUGCACUUCAGUAGAGGAACAACCUGCAGAAAUUCUUAAAACACAGGACAAAACACAAGCAGCUAACACAGACUUCUUAUGGCAACUGUUGGGAGAAAGAAGUGAUGAAAUAGAUGUCGGCUUUCUCACCCAACCAUGGACAUGCCGUUGGAAAGCUGACAGCUCACAGAUUCUGAUGACGGGUCUACACUUUGUGUUUACGUCUUUUUUUGCGCUAGAUUCUGAAGCUGCAGGUCUUAUCACUCUCCAACCAAAAUUAACUGAACCAGCAGCAAAAGAAGAUCCCAACUACAUUUCACAAUUCGCGUCACAUAAACACCGUCAUGAAUUCCCUACGUUAAGAAGUGGCUCGGCCUUCCAAAAUGCCUCCGCAGCGCUAGACUCUACAGCGACGGGAUACUGUCAUUGCCCAUUGCUAGUCUGGUAGAGGAGUUUAAAUGUGCAAAAGUGAGGCUUGAGAUGUCACUCAUGGACUCCCGGGACCCCAUAGUGAGAGGCACUGCUCCCACCUUGGAAAGGGGAGGAAGUGGACUCCAGCCACAUCUGUGCUACAGGCCAAAUCUGCUCUUCGCCAUCAUGACGUGGUGGGUCACAUCCAACAGGGCAGAGGAGGAUUUGGUCUUGGAACAGUAACACCUCUGUGGCAACAGGCAUCCGUAACCAAACGUCGGAAAAUGGUGAUGGUGGAGGUGCGUCAACAGGAGGAAACAGCCAGACAUGCCAGAGCCGUAGCGCUGGCCAAGCAGGGUCACUGGAUGAAUUGGGAGAGUGUUGAAAAGAGGAACUCUCAUGGAGUGAAAUCUGAGGAAUGGAGUCUAAUAGACUAAGUUUCAUCAUCUGAGCGACAUACGAUGUGCUACCUUCCCCAAUAAAUCUGCAGCUGUGGUUUGGAAAGGACCCAUCCUGCCCCCUGUGUACAGUCCCAGCAAUACUCAAGCACAUCUUGGUUGGUUGUAGGACUAGCCUUACUCAGGGCAGAGACACAUGGAGACACAACCAGGUCCUCAGGUGUCUAGCCAAGAAAGUUGAGUGCAAGAGAAAAUCCAUCAACACUCAACCUUUCACAAACCAAGAGGAUCGUCGGCCUUCAUCAACAUUUGUCCGGGAGGGAGACAAGCCGAGGACAAGCCCCUCAACCCCGGACCUGGGCCCGCUGAAGGUUGCCAGGGAUUGGUAGAUGCAAGUGGACUUGGAUCAGAGGCUAAUGUUUCCCUCAAACAUCGUAACAACUACUCUGAGACCAGACCUCAUCCUUUGGUCCAACUCCCGAAAACUUGCGUACGUCAUUGAGCUGACGGUACCAUGGGAGGAAGCAAUUGAGCGUAAGAAGCUGCGGUAUGCCAACUUGGCAGCUGAGGCAGAGAACAGAGGCUGGAAGAUCAAGGUGCGCCCAGUGGAAGUGGGGUGCAGGGGCUUUGUUGCCAGUACAACAGCAAAACUGCUUAGAGAGAUUGGGAUCAGAGGACAGCGCAAUGGCAGGCUAUAAGAGAAUUAGCUAACACUGCUGAAAGGACCAGUCACUGGCUAUGGUUAAAAAGGGCUGACAUCACUUUGGCAGCUAAGGCAGUCAGCUAACCGCGGCACACAUGCCCAGGAUGGAUCAUCCCGUGGAGGGCAUGCCUAAGUAGAGGGCUCUUCUUCUCUUUCCUGGGAGGCAGUGGGGAGGUAGAGCGUACAGCCUGAUCUGGCGGAGAGGUAUGGGAAGCCAGAUUGGGCGCCCCCCUUCCGGCUCUCCUCUCUGCUCUCUCCUAUCUUGUCUCUUUUGUUUUACUUCUCUCCAUCACCUUUUCUAUCCCUUUAAAGAAGUGAGCCUCCAUAAAUGUUAAAGAGGUAAGUAUUACUUGUCAGUAGCAAGGAAUUGAUAGAAGAAAAUAAAUUGUAGAAAACUAAACAGAAGAAAGAAGAGAAAAAACAAUUUAACAUAAACCAGUGACACACUCCAGGGCCUGAUCAACCCUGGCAGAGCCUCCUUGGAUGAGGGUGUCUAGUGAUAAAGGCCGAAACACCUGAUGAUUCCAAGGUCCACUACUGACGAUGUGUCCCAAAAUUGAAUAUGAUAAUCUAGAUCAGAUCUCUAAUCCCUACACAUAACCAAGGAAGGUUAAAAAAUGGCAGAUUAGCCUGGGUAAAAGACCAAAAAACCCUGUUAAGUUCAGGCAUACAACGAUGUGUCCUGCUGGUAAAGUUUAUGGGCUGCCUUUCCUCAUAACAGCCAUCCCUCAAGACUUUCUCUAUUCGAAGCAGUGCAUUAUCAGGGAUUGUAACAUCUAGUCCUUUUACUGAACCACCACAAUAAAAUCCCACUUCCUGCUGAGCUCUCUCUCUCUCAGUGUACUUCAAGAACAGUUUCCCAUCUAAACAUCUCUCUUUUCUGCAUUAUUCGCUUGCUUAUUCCACACCAGUCUACCUUUGUGUACAGCACUGUUGGCCGCUGUUUUUUUUUAUUUUUAUUUAACUGUCUUCUUCUACUGCAGAAUAGUUUUUAGGUUAUCUGCUUUAAAAAGCCAGGCCAGGAAAAUCUCCUUCAUCUUUGUCUGUGUUUUAUGUUCAGUUACUUUGACGCAAAGGCAUCUGCUGUGAUGCUUACACCUCUGAUGAAGUGUCACAAGUGUCAGCUUUCUUUUUAUAGAUGUAAAAAUAUGGAUAUGUACUGAUAAAUGAUCAGAAUUAUAAUAAUUUCUGACUGUCUGAGGCACAAUUUCCCCAAUCCAAAUCAAAUCGUGGAUCGAAUCGAAUCAGGACCUUGUGAAUUAGAAUCGAAUCGAUUCUAGAAAUCAGUGACGAUACCCAGCCCUGGCGGAGCAUUCACAGGCUUUGUGUAUUAGUUGCUGUUUCCUAAAAACAAUCAAGUGUUUGAAUGAAAUCCCUUUUCUCAUUAAAUGUCAAAGACCUAAAUUUAUAGUACUGAGGAUUUUCCAGCCAGUUUGUGCAAAAAUAACAUUAAAAACUAUAGUGGAACCCCCGACUUAGGAAAUUAAUUCAUUCCCGAGGGUCUUUCGUAAGUCGAAAAUUUUCGUAAGUCAAAGCACCCAUCGCGUGUUUUGACUGAGGCGAUGCUGAACGAUCUGUUCAUCCCAGUGUGGAGUCCAUGCAACUCUGGCCCACAAUAAAUGAAAAACAUAAAAAUGACAAACAGUUUCCCUCAACAGCCACUUCAAAAUCAUACGUAAUAGUGGGGUAAAACUGAAAGUAUGAAGCAAAGUAUAGUAAAAAUAAACUACUGAUAAUUACUCAAAAUAUUUAAAUCUUCACUAAGAUGGGUCAAUUACAAAACACAUAUUCAUAAAAAAGUAACUUUUCCCAGGAUAGCUGAAAACACUAUUUAACGUGCCGCCUUAGGUGACGAACUCAUUAUAAACAUAACACAAAAUCUCUAACAUUUACACGUACCUAAAAGACAAAAUGCAGCAGCAGGCCUCUCUGCUGUGGAGGGUGAGGAGUGACAAAAUGAAUUAAUUAAAUACACCAUUAAAUAAUUAAUUAAAUGCCCAUUCGUUUCAUUUACAACAUUUACUAAAUUAUUUAUUUCAAUUUUUAAUUAAUUAUUGACACGUUUGAUUAAUUAUUUAAUGAUGAAUUUGUCAUACAUCUGUGUUCAUGAAUUCAUUUUAUCUGUCAGCCUUAUCCAUCAAGCUCAGGGGGCGGGGUUAAUGCUGCCACUGCAGCUUGUCUAACAUCUGAUUGGUUACCCUGCAAAGUAAGUGAAGACAGGGCCUAAAUAAUCAAUUGCUAUGAACUGGUGUGUGGACUUGGGGCAGCCAGGUAUCCCAGAAUGCAUUUCAAAACACAAUGUUUUCUACAGUCAUUGGAGCAAUCGUGCUGGCGCCCUAAAAUGUAAGUAAAGUUUUAAAAUACCGCGUUUUUCUGUCACCAACUACAUUUUUAAUAAUUUUUUAGCCACAAAUGUAGUAAUGUAAUCUUCACGUUUGUUCAGGUUGUGAAAAUUCAGCACAGGCGAUGUUUUCGGUGAUGUCGCUAGCUCUGCUAACAGUCAGCUGACAGAGUGUACUGAGCUCACAGCCCCGGUGUUCUAGCUUAGCUGAUUUUGACAAUAACUGGGAAGAUUAACAUAAAGUGACUGACCUGGGUUAAAGAUGACAAACAGGAUUUAAAAGGCAGUUAGAAAACUACAGAGCACUUUAUCAGUGGCUGAUUAUCCAAUCACUGGCACACAGCUUUAAAACCACUGAGUUUUAGCUCUCAGUGGUUAAACAUUGGACUCAAUUCACUCAGGUUCUGUCUGUCAGGUUGUGCUUACUUCGCUGUUUUAUUUACAGCUGAGCAAAUCGGUUUGGCACAGAUUAAAGUUAAGUUUCAUGACUGCGUAGUUUUACUGAAGUUUAUUGUCUCACUGGCACACAUGUUAGACUGAAACAUUCGGUUUUCUUUAUCUGGUGUUCGUAUGUGUUACGUUUUUUUCUUUUUAAUCGUGAAUUUUGAAUUAAAACUAACAUUAAAAAUCUUUUUUAUAUGAGGAUGUCAAUGGAAAAUUGUACUUAGUAGUCAGUAUAAGCUUUUAAUGAUAUAAGUUUACAUGUGAUAGAACACUGCAUGAUGACCUUUGUAUGACUUAGACUGUUGUCCACUAUAAGAUUUGUUUCUGUUUUAUAAAUUCUUUCCCACAGCGAUAAUAGCUGAACAAGCAGUUUAUCUCCUACCAGGAAGAGGAGAGCUGGACACUUUUAUCAGCGCUCCCUCACAAGAAGAGGGGCCGCGUCCUUCAGAAUCACACACACACACAAAAUACACCUAACAUACGCACAUACAUACGCACCAACAUUCCUCUGUCUAUUCACUAUUGUAUUACUUUUGUAUAUAAAUAAAAACCCGGGCAGUGGCAGAGCGCACAUCGCAGGGCCCCCACUCUGGUGUGAGCGUUCUGUGAUCGCCCUUGCAAGUAAAAACUGCAGCGUGUGUGUCUCCACUCUCUGACUCUCAGCUGAAGAAGUGUCUCUUAGAAUAAAUCUCUUGACAGAGGAGGAACGAGAAAGCACAUUUUCCACCGAGAGGAGCAGCAUCUGAACCAGCAUGCUGAUCAUGAAGACUCCAGUCUGUCCAGAAAUAUC